ACUGGUGGUGCAAAUGUUAAUGCGCUUAGCUGCUAACUAAAAGGUUGGAGGUUCAAAUCCACCCAGAGGUG
rnacentral:tRNA from 1 species